rnacentral:rRNA from 1 species
UACGUAGGGCGCGAGCGUUAAUCGGAAUUACUGGGCGUAAAGCGUGCGCAGGCGGUUCGUUGUGUCGGUGGUGAAAGCCCCGGGCUUAACCUGGGAAUGGCCAUGGAAACUGGCGAACUGGAGUGUGGCAGAGGGGGUGGAAUUCCGCGUGUAGCAGUGAAAUGCGUAGAGAUGCGGAGGAACACCGAUGGCGAAGGCAGCCCCUGGGCCAACACUGACGCUCAGGCACGAAAGCGUGGGGAGCAAACAGG